rnacentral:rRNA from 1 species
CCUACGGGAGGCUGCAGUGGGGAAUAUUGGACAAUGGGCGAAAGCCUGAUCCAGCCAUGCCGCGUGUGUGAAGAAGGCCUUCGGGUUGUAAAGCACUUUCAGUGGGGAAGAAAGCCUUGGGGCUAAUACCCUCGAGGAAGGACAUCACCCACAGAAGAAGCACCGGCUAACUCCGUGCCAGCAGCCGCGGUAAUACGGAGGGUGCGAGCGUUAAUCGGAAUUACUGGGCGUAAAGCGCGCGUAGGCGGUCUGAUAAGCCGGUUGUGAAAGCCCCGGGCUCAACCUGGGAACGGCAUCCGGAACUGUCAGGCUAGAGUGCAGGAGAGGAAGGUAGAAUUCCCGGUGUAGCGGUGAAAUGCGUAGAGAUCGGGAGGAAUACCAGCGGCGAAGGCGGCCUUCUGGACUGACACUGACGCUGAGGUGCGAAAGCGUGGGUAGCAAACAGGAUUAGAUACCCCAGUAGUC